rnacentral:rRNA from 1 species
AGAGCGCAGGGAGGAUGCCUUGGCAUCAGGAGCCGAAGAAGGACGUGGUAAGCUGCGAAAAGCUACGGGGAUUGGCAAGCACGAUAUGAUCCGUAGAUGUCCGAAUGGAGCAAUCCACAUGGAGUCAAGUCCAUGUAUCAUAUACUGAAUAAAUAGGUAUAUGAGGGGAACCGCCCGAACUGAAACAUCUAAGUAGGGCGAGGAAAAGAAAUCAACCGAGAUUCUGUGAGUAGUGGCGAGCGAAAGCGGAAGAGGCUAAACCGAGAGGAGCAAUCCUUUCGGGGUUUAGGACUGCAUUUAGUACAAUGAUUGUUAACCGAACAGCAUGGGAAGGCUGAUCAAAGAAGGUGAGAAUCCUGUAGGUGAAAACGAAAGUUGACGAGCAGUAUCCAAAGUACCGCGGGGCACGUGAAAUCCCGUGGGAAGAUGGGGGGACCAUCCUCCAAGCCUAAAUACUACCUGAUGACCGAUAGCGAAAAGUACUGUGAAGGAAAGGUGAAAAGCACCCCGGGAGGGGAGUGAAAGAGAACCUGAAACCCUGUGCUUACAAGCACUUAGAGCACGUCAAAGUGUGAUAAGGUACCUAUUGUAGAAUGGUCCGGCGAGUUAUUGUAUGCAGCGAGGUUAAGUAGUUCAGCUACGGAGCCGAAGUGAGAGCGAGUGUUAACAGCACGUUCAGUUGCAUGCAAUAGACCCGAAACCGGGUGACCUAUCCAUGUCCAGGAUGAAGUGAGGGUAAAACCUCAUGGAGGUCCGAACCCACUCCCGUUGAAAUGGUAGGGGAUGAGGUGUGGAUAGCGGAGAAAUUCCAAUCGAACCCGGAUAUAGCUGGUUCUCCCCGAAAUAGUUUUAGGACUAGCCUCGUGAUCAAGAUUAUCGGAGGUAAAGCACUGAAUGGCCUAGGGGUCGAGAGAUUACCGAAGCCUAUCAAACUCUGAAUGCCGAAUAAUCAUGCACGGGAGUCAGACUGUGUGAGAUAAGUUUCAUAGUCGAAAGGGAAACAGCCCAGACCUACAGCUAAGGUCCCAAAGUACGUUUAAGUGGAAAACGAUGUGAAAUUGCGUAGACAACCAGGAUGUUGGCUUAGAAGCAGCCAUACAUUAAAAGAGUGCGUAAUAGCUCACUGGUCGAGUGACUUUGCGCGGAAAAUUUAACGGGGCUAAAACGUACACCGAAGCUUAGGCUUGUCACAAUGUGACAGGGGUAGGGGAGCGUUGAAUGAGGGGUGAAGUCGUAGCGAAAGCGACGGUGGACUUCAUUCAAGUGAGAAUGCCGGAAUGAGUAGCGAGAAUUAUGUGAGAAUCAUAAUGGCCGAAAGCCUAAGGUUUUUGGAGGAAGGUUCGUCCGCUCCAAGUAAGUCGGAAGCUAAGGUGAGGCUGAAAAGCGUAGCCGAUGCACAAACGGUUGAAAUUCCGUUACCACAGAAAGAUUUAAACUAAGGGACACUUUUGAAGAGCUGAUGCCGGGUGUUGGUUACCCCGGUCGUAAGGGAACGAAAUUAAGUAGUGAAGUCAGCGUGGAUGAAGGCGAGAAAAGCUUAGUGUAUAUCUUAUGUGUCCGUACCGCAAACCGACACAGGUAGGUAGGAAGAGAAUUCUAAGGCCAACGGGAGAAGGGUAGUUAAGGAACUCGGCAAAAUGUCCCCGUAACUUCGGAAUAAGGGGAGGUUUCUACGGAAACCCGCAGAGAAUAGUCCCAGGCAACUGUUUAUCAAAAACACAGCUCUAUGCUAAAUCGAAAGAUGACGUAUAUGGGGUGACGCCUGCCCGGUGCCGGAAGGUUAAGAGGAGGAGUGAGAGCCCUGAAUCGAAGCCCCGGUAAACGGCGGCCGUAACUAUAACGGUCCUAAGGUAGCGAAAUUCCUUGUCAGGUAAGUUCUGACCCGCACGAAUGGCGUAAUGAUCUGGGAGCUGUCUCAACUGCCCGCCCGGCGAAAUUGUAGUACCGGUGAAGAUGCCGGUUACCCGCGACUAGACGGAAAGACCCCAUGGAGCUUUACUGUAGCUUAAUAUUGGAUUUCGGCAUUUCAUGUACAGGAUAGGUGGGAGACUAGGAAACAUAGGCGUCAGCUUAUGUGGAGUCGUCCUUGGGAUACCACUCUUGGAGUGCUGAAAUUCUAACCUGCAGCCCUGAAUCGGGUUGGGGGACAUUGUUAGGUGGGCAGUUUGACUGGGGCGGU